rnacentral:rRNA from 1 species
UUAUGGCUCAGGAUGAACGCUAGCUACAGGCUUAACACAUGCAAGUCGAGGGGCAGCAUUGGGAUAGCUUGCUAUUCAGAUGGCGACCGGCGCACGGGUGAGUAACGCGUAUCCAACCUUCCUGCCAGUAGGGAACAGCCCGGCGAAAGUCGGAUUAAUGCCCUAUGUUCUUCAAUGCGGACAUCUAAGUUGAAGGAAAGAUUCAUCGCUGGCAGAUGGGGAUGCGUCCGAUUAGCUUGCCGGCGGGGUAACGGCCCACCGGGGCGACGAUCGGUAGGGGUUCUGAGAGGAAGGUCCCCCACACUGGUACUGAGACACGGACCAGACUCCUACGGGAGGCAGCAGUGAGGAAUAUUGGUCAAUGGGCGUAAGCCUGAACCAGCCAAGUAGCGUGCAGGAUGACGGCCCUACGGGUUGUAAACUGCUUUUAUGCGGGGAUAAAGUGCGGCACGUGUGCCGCUUUGCAGGUACCGCAUGAAUAAGGACCGGCUAAUUCCGUGCCAGCCGCCGC